rnacentral:lncRNA from 1 species
GUAAAACUCCAUGGUGUAUUCGUACCACAUUUUCUUUAUCUAUUGAGGGACACAUAGUCUGAUUCCAUAGUUUGGCUCUUGUAAGUUGUGCUGCUAUAAACACAGGUACGCAACUAUCACUGUAGUAUGGUGACUUCAGUUCUUCAGGGUACACACCCAGGGGUGCACACCAUUAUUUUAGACAGAAGACUCUGCUAUAUCUCCUCAUCUCUUUGUACAUUCAUUUUUCCGCUCCAGAUAAUCUCCUCCUGUCUACAGGUUUAUUUCUGAAACAUGUCAGGAAAAACAUGCCCACACACUUGAUCUGCUGUCCUUUCCAAAAUGUUUUGUAGAUUCUUUGGGGGAGGGGGUAGGUUAGCUUCUUUCUGGCCAGAAACUAGGUAGUUUUGUUAUGACAGUAAACGUACCCUAUUUUUUGUUUUAUUUUUGGUACUGAGGGUUAUACCCAGUGGUACUCUACCAAUAAGCUACACCCCCACCCCUUUUUUUUUUUUUUAUUCUGAG